rnacentral:rRNA from 1 species
GACGAACGCUGGCGGCGUGCUUAACACAUGCCAGUCGAACGGAAAGGCCUCUUUCGGGGGGUACUCGAGUGGCGAACGGGUGAGUAACACGUGAGUAACCUGCCCUUGACUUUGGGAUAACUUCAGGAAACUGGGGCUAAUACCGGAUAGGAGCUCCUGCUGCAUGGUGGGGGUUGGAAAGUUUCGGCGGUUGGGGAUGGACUCGCGGCUUAUCAGCUUGUUGGUGGGGUAGUGGCUUACCAAGGCUUUGACGGGUAGCCGGCCUGAGAGGGUGGCCGGCCACAUUGGGACUGAGAUACGGCCCAGACUCCUACGGGAGGCAGCAGUGGGGAAUAUUGCACAAUGGGUGGAAGCCUGAUGCAGCAACGCCGUGUGCGGGAUGACGGCCUUCGGGUUGUAAACCGCUUUCGCUCAUGACGAAGCUUUGUGUGACGGUAGUGGGUAAAGAAGCACCGGCUAACUACGUG